rnacentral:rRNA from 1 species
GAGUUUGAUCGUGGCUCAGAUUGAACGCUGGCGGCAGGCCUAACACAUGCAAGUCGGACGGCAGCACGGGAGCUUGCUCCUGGUGGCGAGUGGCGGACGGGUGAGUAGCGCUUGGGAAUCCGCCUGGCAUUGGGGGAUAACUCGGGGAAACUCGAGCUAAUACCGCGUACGCCCUGAGGGGGAAAGCAGGGGACUUGCUUGCAAGCCUUGCGAUGUCAGAUGAGCCCAAGCCGGAUUAGCUAGUUGGUAGGGUAAAGGCCUACCAAGGCGACGAUCCGUAGCUGGUCUGAGAGGAUGAUCAGCCACACUGGGACUGAGACACGGCCCAGACUCCUUCGGGAGGCAGCAGUGGGGAAUAUUGGACAAUGGGGGCAACCCUGAUCCAGCCAUGCCGCGUGUGUGAAGAAGGUCUUAGGAUUGUAAAGCACUUUAAGUCAGGAGGAAGGCGCUCUGGUUAAUACCUGGAGUGAUUGACGUUACUGACAGAAUAAGCACCGGCUAACUUCGUGCCAGCAGCCGCGGUAAUACGAAGGGUGCAAGCGUUAAUCGGAAUUACUGGGCGUAAAGCGCGCGCAGGCGGUUCGAUAAGAAAGAUGUGAAAGGCCUGGGCUCAACCUGGGAAUGGCAUUUUUAACUGUCGGGCUAGAGUACGGUAGAGGGUGGUGGAAUUUCCUGUGUAGCGGUGAAAUGCGUAGAUAUAGGAAGGAACAUCAGUGGCGAAGGCGACCACCUGGACUGAUACUGACGCUCAUGUGCGAAAGCGUGGGGAGCAAACAGGAUUAGAUACCCUGGUAGUCCACGCUGUAAACGAUGUCAACUAGCCGUUGGUCUCCUAGUGGGAUAAGUGGCGCAGCUAACGCGAUAAGUUGACCGCCUGGGGAGUACGGCCGCAAGGUUAAAACUCAAAUGAAUUGACGGGGGCCCGCACAAGCGGUGGAGCAUGUGGUUUAAUUCGACGCAACGCGAAGAACCUUACCUGGCCUUGAC